AUUGAACGCUGGCGGCAGGCUUAACACAUGCAAGUCGAACGAGUGGCGGACGGGUGAGUAAUGCUUGGGAAUCUAGCUUAUGGAGGGGGAUAACUACGGGAAACUGUAGCUAAUACCGCGUACCAUAGGAUGAGCCCAAGUGGAAGUAGGUAGGUGGAGAGGUAAAGGCUCACACAGCCGACGAUCUCUAGCUAGGCUGAGAGGAUGACUAGCCACGAUGGGAUGGAGACAUGGCCAAGACUACAACGGGAGGAAGAAGUGGGGAAUAAUGCGCAAGGGAGGCAAACUGGCGCAGCCAUGCCGCUUGAAGGAAGAAGGCCUUCGGAUUGUAAAGUUAUUUCGGUAGCGAGGCGUUAACAACAGAAGAAGCCCCGGCUAACUCGGUAGCAGGAGCCGCGGUAAUAC
rnacentral:rRNA from 1 species